CGCCGGCCGAACCCUGGCGACGCCGUCCAGUCCGGUUCUCCGGCGCCGGUCACCGAAAUUCCGGCCGCUCUCGUCCGCCUUCUCCUUCAUCGCGCGUCCUUUUCUAACCUGCGUCGUCUUCCGCACCCCUCCUCCAACCGCAUCGACGACUAGGCCGAGAAGUACAGCGACGACCGGCGGAGGUCGACCCGGCAGGCGGCGCGAGAUCUACAGCGACGAACGGAGAAUCUCUCGUCCACGUCACCACCCGGCGCUGCUCGACCCGGCCGCGCGUGACCUCAGUCGGUGCUCGACCCGGCCCUGUGAAACGGCGGAGUAAGGUUUUGCUCUUCUGCAAGUGUGAUACCUAAAGUUUGCCUUCUCCUGCUUGAGAUAACCCAGUCCAGAAGAAGGAGAGAUCCUAGAGUUCGUAGUAGAAACAAUUGGAACAAACAUCAAUUUGGAAGUCUGUAAAUCUGAAAUGUGAGGAUUUUCAGGAGUUCUGCAACGCUAAAGCCUUGAAGUGUUCAUCCAUAAAAAAAAAUCUUCAAUCGUUCUAAAUCCGCAAGAUGAAGUUUCUGAACCUUGGGUGGGCCCUGUUUGGAGGGCUUGUUUUCCCUAGGAAAAGUAAAGCGCCCUUUCCAAAUGGCCGACUUUUGGUUUGACUGAAGAGAAGUGAAAACCCUCCGACAGCCCUCGCAAAUAUGCGAACUAAGAGCAUUCCCAAAAUAUGUCAAAGUAGGCCCGUUUGGGUUAUAGUUAGGGCUUGUGCAAAAGCCGUCUGAACAGCUAGGUUCUUGUUGGCUGCACUCCCCUUAAGUGUAGUUUGGAAUAAACCAGCUAUGACGUUCAAUAGGAUUUUUUAUUUGGUUGGCUGGUGUUUUUAGCUGUAAUAAAAAAAUCAAAAUGUAUAUGUAUUAUUAUUAUAGAUUAGAUGUUGAUUUAUGGAUUAAUUAGAUAUAUGCCACUGCAAUUAUUGUGUAUUUUAGAAAUGCCACUACAAUUUUCAUCUUUCGAAAUAUGCCUUUGCAGUGGCAUUUUUGGAAGGCUGAGAGACGUUUUUUCGAAAAAUCUUGAGAAU